CAGCCGUAAACUAUGCGCGUUAGGUGUAUCGGUGACCACGAGUCACCGAGGUGCCGAAGGGAAACCGUGAAACGUGCCGCCUGGGAAGUACGGUCGCAAGGCUGAAACUUAAAGGAAUUGGCGGGGGGAGGCACCACAACGGGUGGAGCCUGCGGUUUAAUUGGACUCAACGCCGGGAAGCUCACCGGAUAAGACAGCGGAAUGAUUGCCGGGCUGAAGACCCUGCAUGACUAGCUGAGAGGAGGUGCAUGGCGUAGACGUCU
rnacentral:rRNA from 1 species